GACAGAGGGGGCAAGCGUUGCUCGGAAUUACUGGGCGUAAAGGGCGCGUAGGCGGGAUGGCAAGUCGGUCGUGAAAUCCUUCGGCUCAACCGAAGAACGUCGAUCGAUACUGCUGUUCUUGAGGGUUGCAGAGGAGACUGGAAUUCCCGGUGUAGCGGUGAAAUGUGUAGAGAUCGGGAGGAACACCGGUGGCGAAGGCGGGUCUCUGGGCGAUUCCUGACGCUGAGGCGCGAAAGCGUGGGGAGCAAACGGG
rnacentral:rRNA from 1 species